rnacentral:misc_RNA from 1 species
GGACUAUAAGAGUCAAAAUUCGUAAAACCCUAAUCGGUAGCCAAAUUCCAGUAUGGAGGGAAUACAGAAGGCUUUUCGUAGUGCCAUGUCUCAGGAUCCUAAUGGCAGUUUAAGUUCCAUUUCUUCUGCUCUUGAAAAGGCACCCAUUAAAUCUUCUGCUACUGUUUCGUCGGCUGAGCAAUCACAGCUUUUGCUUACUCGAUCUUCCAGACAAGCAGUAUCACUGUGGACUUGCUCAAAGCUCUGUGCCAUUUGUUUUGUUGCUGGAAUAUUUGUUGGUUAUACACUGAAGCGUCGUGUACGCCGAUGGGCUUCCAAAUUUCUCAAGGGAUUGAAGGACUAACAAGUUUUGGAUACUUCCAGUUUCUGAUUGUAAUUUCAUUUUCCAUGUAGGUAUCAUAUCACAUUGUACUUUUCUGGCCAUGAUAUACAGAAGUCUUUUAUGGGUUUUUGCUGCAUAAGCACUGAAUUGUGU